GCCAGCUUAGCUCAGUUGGUAGAGCAACGCACUCGUAAUGGGUACGCAUGGAUCAGUUACGUUGCUGGCA
rnacentral:tRNA from 1 species